UAUACCCUACGGGACGCAGCAGUGAGGAAUAUUGGUCAAUGGGCGCGAGCCUGAACCAGCCAAGUCGCGUGAGGGAAGACGGUCCUAUGGAUUGUAACCCUCUUUUGUCGGGGAGCAAAAGACGCCACGCGUGGCGUUCCGAGAGUACCCGAAGAAAAAGCAUCGGCUAACUCCGUGCCAGCAGCCGCGGUAAUACGGAGGAGGCGAGCGUUAUCCGGAUUUAUUGGGUUUAAAGGGUGCGCAGGCGGAAGAUCAAGUCAGCGGUAAAAUUGAGAGGCU
rnacentral:rRNA from 1 species